CUCUGCGCCUGCGGGGGGUGGUGGGUGUGUUCUGCGUGCCUCCAGGGCUCGCACUUAGCUCAGAAUGCGGAGCUCGUCCGCUUCCACGUCAGCUGUGGGAGCCGCUUGGAGAAAGAAAAUGCACUGCUGUCCUGGAUAGGCGCACAGGAGGAGGCUGGAUAUGGCCUUUGCUACGGGGUUUCGUCGCUUCUACGUAGUAGAUCUGGGGAGUUGCCUGUUCCUUGGGCCAAAGCGGAAGCUCCAUCAGAGCCUGAACCUCCAGAAUUUGUGAUGGAAUAGCAACACAGAAGGAUGUAGUCAACAUCUUUCACACAAGAUUUGAUAAGAAAGUGUCCACUCUAAGCCAGUCAGUCAUCUGGAUUGCAUCUGUGGUCAGUGGAGGGGAUCAGCCACUUCAGAAGGUAGAUGGCCUCUCCAGACUUGGCCAGAUAUUUUCAGAGGGGUGACUCUCAGAACUUCACACAAACAGAAAAUCCUCAACAGUAUCUUCUGGAGGAAAACAGAAUGCGUACAGGAAAACCUGUUCAUACAUUGUAACGUUUCUCAAACAAAUCUCCACCUGUAUUCCCUGCUUCAGCAGACAAUCAUAAAUAGCAAAACUUUUGAUAAUAUUUAGGCCUUCUUUUACACAUCCCAGUGAUGAAAGUUUAACUGUUUCUCUGGGCAGUUUACAGCUUAAUUCUGCACAGUUGUCUAAUACUUAAUGUAAAUCACCUUUGCUGCAAUUUAACUCAAUUGCUUGUCCUAAUGGACACUAAGAGUGUCUAUUUCAUUAUUCUUUGCCACGAUUUUGCAUAUUUGGAGAUUAUUAUUCCCAUUCAUCGAAUCAUAGAAUCACCAUGGUUGGAAAAGACCCAGAAGAUCACCCAGUCCAACCAUCCACCCAUCACCAAUACUUCUCACUAAACCAUAUCCCGCAACACAACAUCCAAACGUUCCUUGAACACCUCCAGGGUUCAUGUUCCUUCCUAGUUUUCACUAUUCUUGACACCAUUUGUGUCUUGACACUGAAAUAAAGUUGUCGUGAUGCUAGUAGGAUUUAUGUACAGUUAAGCCUCUCUGACAAAGCAUAAGGGGAGUGAAAAUCUGGAGGUUGGAUGAGGGGAGAGUGGAGGCUGUUCUCCAUCUCACCUUUCCCUUAGCCUUGCAGCUGAUCCUGUACUGUUCUUGAUCCUGUCCACCGCACUGUAAUGGAGGUUAUAAGACAAAGUGACACUAAAGCCCUGGAGCUUCCUCUUUCUUCCACAUUACUUGACUUUAGAAAGUGAACCGGACCAACGCUCCCUGCCACCUGUCCCUGCAUGGCCCUUGGUAAUCUAGGUCACCCAGUGACUCCAUAAGAGCACUGAUAUUUCCUGCUACACUUACAAUUGCAAUACUGUUAUGUUGUUAGUCUGUCACUCAGCACUAAUUUAGAUGGAGUAAUCCCAAUUCAUUCUGUCCUUUCUGAUAAAUCAGAGGGAGGUGGGGAUUAAGUAUUUGAUUGAUUGUUACCCUUUCAUGGAAUCCUACCAGUUCACAGCUUUCAAAGGCAUGAUGGCCACACUCAACAGUGAAAAUCUGGGGACUUGCUAGGCAGUGUUUACAAGCAAACUGUAGUUUUUGUCUCAUAUCUUUCUUUUUUCACUUUCUGUUUUCACUGAGUUUCUACGCUUUCCAAUUUAAUUACAGUGACACUUCCACAAUUUCUCCAAAGCCAUAAAGAAAAACCCAGUGGUUUUGUUUGUGCGUACUGCUUAAGGACCUUGGAAGUUACCUUUAAUACAGAACAUUUCACAGGACUAUGCAUUAUACCACAAAAUGAUUCUUAACAUGUUAAUUUAAAACAUAUUUUUCUAUAGAUUAGUUCAUAAAGAGGGAGGAAGGAAGAUAUUUAGCUCCAGACAGCACUUGCAAUAGAAGCCAGUUAUUUCUCUACAGCAUCUUUACUUUGAAGUAUCACUAAAUGAUUUCCAGAGAGAGGAAGAACAUAAUUUAAUGAUCCCUUGCACAGUUCUAACACCUUUCAUCGGAGCAUCUCAAAGCAUUUCAGACAAGCCUGAAAGCGUGUCUGUUCUUCUCCAGCCGUAUCAGUUGGCCUAAUAAAAGAUAUUAUGUCUUCCUGCACACCUUGUAUUGUUUAGCACUCAAAGUUAUCAUCGUUGUUUUACAAAUACCUAGAAAGAGGCACAGAGAAUCCAUGUAGUUUCAUUUCAGACAAUGAAUUCUGUGGGGUCCCAUUUUCAGUAAGGCUCCAGGCUUUGCGGGAUGCGUGUUCUCGGAUUACAGUCAGGUGUGGAGCAAAGUGUUCGUCCCACUGACAUCAGUGGCAAAAUUCCCAUUGAUCCGAAUAAGGCUGAAAUGGUGUGCUAGCUUUGCUGCCUGCCAAAAUCGACUUCAGACCUGCACGUCCUGCCUUAUGCGUCACUAUUAGUAAUGAAGUUUCUGCAGCCCACAUCGUGUCUGCUGUUAUGUUCUCAAGAAGUGAUCAAGACGAAUCUAAAUGUGGAAUGAGAGACCCCAGCAACAGGAGGGGUCGUUGCACAGUGAGUGUACUUGUUAACAGUCUCCUUACAGUUACUGCAGAUGAAUCCAUCUGCCUUUUAUGCACACACUCUGUGCUGACGAAAUGAGCCAUAUGAGAGCUGUUUGAGUCAGCUUGCACUGACGUGGAUGCGUGCUGUCCUCACUGGCUUGUGUCCCAGGUUACAGGUGUACUGCCAAGACCUCCACAAAGCCUGUGUCACAUCCCCACUAUCAUGUUUGACCUUUUCUGAUGAAAAGACAGUCUAACAUUUUUGAGCAAAUUGAGAGAUCUCAUCCAGCUUUGUAUAUGCCUAGUUAAGACGGUACAUUUGGCUCUAUGGCACCACGUGCAGCUAUAAACAAGUGCUGUCUUGAGAAAACAGUCUCAAAGAACUGUUGAGCAGUCUUUCCACUAAAAUGUUCAUGAAGUAUGCACUAUCAUCAAAAGCUGUAUGCUACAGGAGAAAUAAGCAAUUUAAAAUACAGAUUAAAAAAGGAAGACAAAGGGAGAAAACUCCUGUGUGUGCAGUGUACAGCUGUCCUCUUUUUGCUGUCGAGGAUGGCUGAAUAUGGUCCUGGUAAGAAAAAGAGGAUCGUUUUCUCUCCCUGUAUUGUCCACUUGUUCCAUACUGUAGGAUUCUUCUCAAGCUUACUGAAGGUGUGGCCACCCAGUCCUGGUAUAUUCUUGAUAAUUUUCUAUCUAAAUGCUCAGCAAAUACUCUGGCUGUUGUGCUAGACAGAGAGCAGAAAGCUCUUGCUCAUCUGGCAUUUGUUAUCUACGGCUGUCUUUCCCUCUUUCAUAGUUAUUUCAGGUUAUGGGUAAGCUAGAGGAAAAUAAAAGGGAGUUUCUCAUACCACCAGUUUCAAUUUGAAGCUUAAGAACUCCAAACUGCUGGUCUCACAAAAACAUUCUCCUGUCUUUCUGGCUGAAUUAAACGUUGGUCUUUCUACUAUGUCUUAUAUUAUGAGCUGCUUGUGGAUCUUUAUAUCUGAUCAUUCUCUCCUUGUGUUGGAAAACAAUAUGUGGGAGUUUCUUUCCGUACCAGAUCUUUGUGGGUUACUUGCUAGUAAACUAAUUUUACAUGACUCAGAUUUAAAUAAUAAAAAGGCUUAACUCCAGCCCAAGAAGAGUUUAUUGUCCACAACUGUAGCCUAGAGACAAACCCCAGCACCUUUGGGACUCAGCUGAGGCAGCAAUUAGGCGGCAUUUUAUUGUGAUGCAGUGAAUACGCAAAAGAUGAAGCUGGGCUACUCUCGAGAGCUUAGAAACAAAAUUGGCUUCCUGGAGAGAGAACAUAAGAAAUCUGGCAACCUAAAAAUAUUUAAAGAGCUUAGGGUUCCCAGGGGAGAAUUUCAAGCUAUUGAAGUGGAAAAGACGGAGCAUUUGCUAAGAUUGAAAAAAAAAAAGGGGAGGGAGCUACAUGAAAAACGACAAAGUGUACGGAUAUUUUUUUUUACUGUAGCAUGUUUCAAAGGGGAAAAUAUAAUAAACCUGAAAUCAAUCUGUAGCACAGACUUCAAUGCAGUGCUCCAAAUCAAACAGCCUUGGUUUGAAAACAGGAGUCAGGAGAUUUUUUAUUUUUUUUCAUUUCAGAAUUAUGAGUGAUUGAGGCCAAGAAACCAUUAAAUGAGGUGAAAGGUCUGGGCUAGAGGGCAUCUUGAGCAAGUCUAAUGAAGUCAUGGUUGCUUCAGUGGCCACGUUCCCAAGGGAUUUUGCUGUGUCUGUCACUGCAUCUCUGUUCCUCCUCUGGAUCUGGCUCCCUGGGCUUUGCUGUUACGUUCCAGGAACCCUGCGUAGCCCUACACCAGCAGCUCGGUGGCGUGUAGCAUCCCUGUGUCAGAACAAAGACAUGUGGGACAUGAUUUAGCUCAGCCAACAUUUGGUGUCUGUCAUACAGACAUUUACCUGUGGGCUGGUCUUGCCUGCCUGCCUUUAUUGUCAGCAAAGAGCGGCAGGAGCUUACAAGGCACAAUUUAGCUCAACCGAGUGUGAAUUUCUAAUAUAUGCUAAAAGUGCCAAUUUAUCUGUGACUUAAAAUGGAGUCCUAAGGUGAUUAACUCACAAAUGGACGCCUACAGUUUAAAUAUCUCCAUUUGUUCAAUGAACUCUACCCACACAAUGAGCAUUACUCCAGUGCAAACUAUAUAUUAGAGCUUUCUCUGCUGUGUUUGGGCUUAUCCCUUCAUGCAUCUUGUAUUUAAGCCUGUAUCCAGGACUACAGCAAAAUAACUGAAAUGGUUUAGCUUCUGUCCCAACAUGAGCAAGUGGCCUAGGAAGUGCAUGAUGUUUACCUUAUUGUCCUACCCUCUCCUCUUUGCCAUUCCUUCGCAUUACCCUGACCACCCUGCCUCAGCCGCACAGCUCCACUCAUGACUUUGUGUGUCAGAGGCAAUUCUGUUCAGCAACAAAAGAAACCUCUGCACCAAGGGUCGGAGCCGGAUGACUGAUCAACAUGGGAG
ensembl:lncRNA